AGAGCGAACGCUGGCGGCAGGCCUAAUACAUGCAAGUCGAACGGAUCCUUCGGGAUUAGUGGCGGACGGGUGAGUAACACGUGGGAACGUGCCCUUUGGUUCGGAACAACUCAGGGAAACUUGAGCUAAUACCAAAUGUGCCCUUCGGGGGAAAGAUUUAUCGCCAUUGGAGCGGCCCGCGUCUGAUUAGCUAGUUGGUGGGGUAAAGGCCCACCAAGGCGACGAUCAGUAGCUGGUCUGAGAGGAUGAUCAGCCACACUGGGACUGAGACACGGCCCAGACUCCUACGGGAGGCAGCAGUAGGGAAUCUUGCGCAAUGGGCGAAAGCCUGACGCAGCCAUGCCGCGUGAAUGAUGAAGGUCUUAGGAUUGUAAAAUUCUUUCAGCGGGGACGAUAAUGACGGUACCCGCAGAAGAAGCCCGGCUAACUUCGCGCCAGCAGCCGC
rnacentral:rRNA from 1 species